ACUGCCACCACCGAGCUCCCCCCAUUGAGAGUGGACUCUGUGCGUGUGUCCCCCAGGAACGGUGACAAGUACGACGGCGACUGGGUCCGGGACCGGCGUCAGGGACACGGGGUGCUGCGCGGCGCCGACGGCUCCACCUACGAGGGACAGUGGCACAGCGACGUCUUCAGUGGACUGGGCAGCAUGGCCCACUGCUCAGGGGUCACCUAUUAUGGGUUGUGGAUCAACGGCCACCCAGCAGAACAAGCUACGAGGAUCGUGAUCUUGGGUCCGGAGGUGAUGGAAGUGGCCCAAGGGUCUCCCUUCUCGGUGAACGUUCAGCUGCUGCAGGACCACGGGGAAAUUGCCAAGAAUGGAGUUUCACUCUUGCUGCCCAGGCUGGAGUGCAGUGGUGCAAUGUCGGCUCUCCGCAACCUCCGCCUCCCGCGUUCAAGCGAUUCUGCCUUGGCCUCCUGAGUAGCUGGGAUUACAGGCAUGUGCCAUCAUGCCCCACUAAUUUUGUAUUUUGAGUAGAGAUGGGGUUUCGCCAUGUUGGUCAGGCUGGUCUCGAACUCCCGACCUCAGGUGAUCAGCCCGCCUCAG
rnacentral:sRNA from 1 species